ensembl:lncRNA
AAGGCAAGUAGACCUUGUGAAUUCAGUGUAAUCUCUGGAAGAGUUGAGACUGUUUAGUCUAGAGACCAGAAGGCUGAAAGAAGACAGGAUAAUCAUUUCCAAACCUGCAGAAGAGACUUUCAAAGAGAAAAGGAAUAUUUCUUUCUUUCUUUCUUUCUUUCUUUCUUUCUUUCUUUCUUUCUUUCUUUCUUUCUUUCUUUCUUUCUUCCUUUCUUCCUUUCUUCCUUUCUUCCUUUCUUCCUUUCUUCCUUUCUUCCUUUCUUCCUUUCUUCCUUUCUUCCUUUCUUCCUUUCUUCCUUUCUUCCUUUCUUUCUUUCUUUCUUUUUCUUCCUUUCUUCCUUUCUUCCUUUCUUCCUUUCUUUCUUUCCUUCUUUCCGUCUUUCCUUCUUUCCUUCUUUCCUUCCUUCUUUCCUUCUUUCCUUCUUUCUUUCCUUCUUUCUUUUCUUUUUUGGCCUGAUGGGAACAGAGCAAAGAGCAAGAAGCAAAGGAUUAAAUCACAUCAGAAAAUUGUUGGAUAUAUCCCUUUGCUCAAAGAAAUGGCUUGUUCUCUGCUCCUGAGAUAUUGGUGAAAAGCUGUAAUUAAG